UACGAAGGGGGCUAGCGUUGCUCGGAAUUACUGGGCGUAAAGCGCACGUAGGCGGCUCUUUAAGUGGGGUGUGAAAGCCCUCGGCUCAACCGAGGAAUUGCGCUCCAAACUACCGAGCUUGAGUAGGCUAGAGGUGAGCAGAACUGAUGGUGGAGCGGUGAAAUGCGUUGAUAUCAUCAGGAAUACCGGAGGCGAAGGCGGCUCACUGGGACCUAACUGACGCUGAGGAACGAAAGCUAGGGGAGCAAACGGG
rnacentral:rRNA from 1 species